UACGGAGGGUGCAAGCGUUAUCCGGAUUCACUGGGUUUAAAGGGUGCGUAGGUGGGUUGGUAAGUCAGUGGUGAAAUCUCCGAGCUUAACUUGGAAACUGCCAUUGAUACUAUCAGUCUUGAAUAUUGUGGAGGUCAGCGGAAUAUGUCAUGUAGCGGUGAAAUGCUUAGAUAUGACAUAGAACACCAAUUGCGAAGGCAGCUGGCUACACAUAUAUUGACACUGAGGCACGAAAGCGUGGGAUCAAACAGGG
rnacentral:rRNA from 1 species